AAACGACUCUCGGCAACGGAUAUCUCGGCUCUCGCAUCGAUGAAGAACGUAGCGAAAUGCGAUACUUGGUGUGAAUUGCAGAAUCCCGUGAACCAUCGAGUCUUUGAACGCAAGUUGCGCCUCAAGCCUUCGGGCCGAGGGCACGUCUGCCUGGGUGUCACAAA
rnacentral:rRNA from 1 species